rnacentral:rRNA from 1 species
UACAGAGGGGGCAAGCGUUGUUCGGAAUUACUGGGCGUAAAGGGCGCGUAGGCGACCUUCUAAGUCGAACGUGAAAUCCCCGGGCUCAACCCGGGAACUGCGUCCGAUACUGGAAGGCUUGAAUCCGGGAGAGGGAUGCGGAAUUCCAGGUGUAGCGGUGAAAUGCGUAGAUAUCUGGAGGAACACCGGUGGCGAAGGCGGCAUCCUGGACCGGCAUUGACGCUGAGGCGCGAAAGCGUGGGGAGCAAACAGG